rnacentral:rRNA from 1 species
GAUGAACGCUGGCGGCGUGCCUAAUACAUGCAAGUCGAGCGAACAGACGAGGAGCUUGCUCCUCUGACGUUAGCGGCGGACGGGUGGGUAGCACGUGGAUAACCUACCUAUAAGACUGGGAUAACUUCGGGAAACCGGAGCUAAUACCGGAUAACAUGUUGAACCGCAUGGUUCAACAGUGCAAGACGGUCUUGCUGUCACUUAUAGAUGGAUCCGCGCCGCAUUAGCUAGUUGGUAAGGUAACGGCUUACCAAGGCAACGAUGCGUAGCCGACCUGAGAGGGUGAUCGGCCACACUGGAACUGAGACACGGUCCAGACUCCUACGGGAGGCAGCAGUAGGGAAUCUUCCGCAAUGGGCGAAAGCCUGACGGAGCAACGCCGCGUGAGUGAUGAAGGUCUUCGGAUCGUAAAACUCUGUUAUUAGGAAAGAACAAAUGUGUAAGUAACUAUGCACGUCUUGACGGUACCUAAUCAGAAAGCCACGGCUAACUACGUG